rnacentral:lncRNA from 1 species
AAGAAGUAAAUAAACUCAAAAAGGAAAUUGCUAAUUUAAAAUUAGAAGUUUAUAAUCUAAGAAAAGAUUUUGAUGACAAAAGGUCUGAUCUUCAGAUCAACGAUUCCACGUCUAGUGAUGAAAAUCACGAUGAACCAGAAUCGUCUGGUGCUAAAGAUGAACCAGAUCUAUUUGUACAAGGUCUUACACUUAAAAGAAUUAAGGAUAUUACCAUUCAGAAAUGGUAUGUCUCGAUUAACCUAGUUGUUGAUAAAGGUUUC